CACGUAGGGUGCGAGCGUUGUCCGGAAUUAUUGGGCGUAAAGAGCUCGUAGGCGGUGUGUCGCGUCGGCCGUGAAAACUUGCAGGCUUAACUGUGGGCGUGCGGUCGAUACGGGCAUCACUGGAGUUCGGCAGGGGAGACUGGAAUUCCUGGUGUAGCGGUGGGAAUGCGCAGAUAUCAGGAGGAACACCGGUGACGAAGGCGGGUCUCUGG
rnacentral:rRNA from 1 species